GAUGAACGCUGGCGGCGUGCUUAACACAUGCAAGUCGAACGGUGAAGCAGGAGCUUGCUCUUGUGGAUCAGUGGCGAACGGGUGAGUAACACGUGAGCAACCUGCCCCUGACUCUGGGAUAAGCGCUGGAAACGGCGUCUAAUACUGGAUAUGUGAUGUGACCGCAUGGUAUGCAUCUGGAAAGAAUUUCGGUUGGGGAUGGGCUCGCGGCCUAGCAGCUUGUUGGUGAGGUGAUGGCUCACCACGGCGUCGACGGGUAGCCGGCCUGAGAGGGUGACCGGCCACACUGGGACUGAGACACGGCCCAGACUCCUACGGGAGGCAGCAGUGGGGAAUAUUGCACAAUGGGCGGAAGCCUGAUGCAGCAACGCCGCGUGAGGGAUGACGGCCUUCGGGUUGUAAACCUCUUUUAGCAGGGAAGAAGCGAAAGUGACGGUACCUGCAGAAAAAGCACCGGCUAACUACGUGCCAGCCGCCGCGGUAA
rnacentral:rRNA from 1 species